AACGAACGCUGGCGGCAUGCCUAACACAUGCAAGUCGAACGAGAAGCAACUUCGGUUGUGGAGAGUGGCGCACGGGUGAGUAAUACAUGGAAAUCUGCCUUUCACUGGGGGAUAACAGUUAGAAAUGACUGCUAAUACCGCAUACGCCAUAUUGGGAAACCUACGGGGGUGAAAGAUGAGUCCAUGCCUGAUUAGCUAGUUGGUGGGGUAAAGGCCUACCAAGGCAACGAUCAAUAGCGGGUUUGAGAGGAUGAUCCGCCACACUGGUACUGAGACACGGACCAG
rnacentral:rRNA from 1 species